rnacentral:rRNA from 1 species
UACGUAGGGUGCAAGCGUUGUCCGGAAUUAUUGGGCGUAAAGAGCUCGUAGGCGGCUUGUUGCGUCGACCGUGAAAACCCGCGGCUUAACUGCGGGCUUGCGGUUGAUACGGGCGGGCUAGAGUUCGGUAGGGGAGACUGGAAUUCCUGGUGUAGCGGUGAAAUGCGUAGAUAUCAGGAGGAACACCGGUGGCGAAGGCGCCUAUCUGGCCCGAUACUGACGCUGAGGCGCGAAAGCUAGGGGAGCAAACGGG